rnacentral:misc_RNA from 1 species
GAACGUCGGCUCGGCCGGGUUCGCCUUGAUCGCCUCGAUCUCGGCGGAGUGAUCGGCAAAAGCCUUGUCGAAGGCCGGCAGGAAGUGCUCGGGACGGAUGUCGGCGAAGGGCGGCGAACGGGUGUCCGCCGGCCCGCCAGCAGCGGGUUGGUAUGGGAGUCGACAGCCGUUGAGGACGCUUCUGACAUGGUGAGGCCUUAUUUCCAGCGAUUUCCAAGGCAUUCUCUAUAGCAUCCGGUGGGGCUUUUUUGCGCCCUUGCCGCUUGAUUGACGCG